GACGAACGCUGGCGGCGUGCUUAACACAUGCAAGUCGAACGGAAAGGCCCUGCUUUUGUGGUGUGCUCGAGUGGCGAACGGGUGAGUAACACGUGAGUAACCUGCCCUUGACUUUGGGAUAACUUCAGGAAACUGGGGCUAAUACCGGAUAGGAGCUCCUGCUGCAUGGUGGGGGUUGGAAAGUUUCGGCGGUUGGGGAUGGACUCGCGGCUUAUCAGCUUGUUGGUGGGGUAGUGGCUUACCAAGGCUUUGACGGGUAGCCGGCCUGAGAGGGUGACCGGCCACAUUGGGACUGAGAUACGGCCCAGACUCCUACGUGAGGCAGCAGUGGGGAAUAUUGCACAAUGGGCGGAAGCCUGAUGCAGCAGCGCCGCGUGCGGGAUGACGGCCUUCGGGUUGUAAACCGCUUUCGCCUGUGACGAAGCGUGAGUGACGGUAAUGGGUAAAGAAGCACCGGCUAACUACGUG
rnacentral:rRNA from 1 species